GACGAACCGAGCGAACGUUGUUCGGAAUCACUGGGCUUAAAGGGCGCGUAGGCGGGCUGACGCGUCCGGGGUGAAAUCCUCCGGCUCAACCGGAGAACGGCCCCGGGUACGGGCGGCCUCGAGGGGGGUAGGGGCGGGCGGAACUGUGGGUGGAGCGGUGAAAUGCGUUGAUAUCCACAGGAACUCCGGUGGCGAAGGCGGCCCGCUGGACCCCAUCUGACGCUGAGGCGCGAAAGCCAGGGGAGCGAACGGG
rnacentral:rRNA from 1 species